GCUGAUGGCGACCGGCGCACGGGUGAGUAACACGUAUCCAACCUGCCGUCUACUCUUGGCCAGCCUUCUGAAAGGAAGAUUAAUCCAGGAUGGGAUCAUGAGUUCACAUGUCCGCAUGAUUAAAGGUAUUUUCCGGUAGACGAUGGGGAUGCGUUCCAUUAGAUAGUAGGCGGGGUAACGGCCCACCUAGUCAACGAUGGAUAGGGGUUCUGAGAGGAAGGUCCCCCACAUUGGAACUGAGACACGGUCCAAACUCCUACGGGAGGCAGCAGUGAGGAAUAUUGGUCAAUGGGCGAUGGCCUGAACCAGCCAAGUAGCGUGAAGGAUGACUGCCCUAUGGGUUGUAAACUUCUUUUAUAAAGGAAUAAAGUCGGGUAUGCAUACCCGUUUGCAUGUACUUUAUGAAUAAGGAUCGGCUAACUCCGUGCCAGCAGCCGCGGUAAUACGGAGGAUCCGAGCGUUAUCCGGAUUUAUUGGGUUUAAAGGGAGCGUAGAUGGAUGUUUAAGUCAGUUGUGAAAGUUUGCGGCUCAACCGUAAAAUUGCAGUUGAUACUGGAUGUCUUGAGUGCAGUUGAGGCAGGCGGAAUUCGUGGUGUAGCGGUGAAAUGCUUAGAUAUCACGAAGAACUCCGAUUGCGAAGGCAGCCUGCUAAGCUGCAACUGACAUUGAGGCUCGAAAGUGUGGGUAUCAAACAG
rnacentral:rRNA from 1 species